UCCACCCUCCCUGUACCCCAGCUGCUCCCAGCAACCAUCACUGUCCUUUUGGGGAUCCUCAGCUAAUCCUGGUGUCCCUCAGGCCUUACCUCCCACAGAGUGACUCAUGAACUAACUUUGCCCUAGAGAAUCCCAUCCUGCAAAGCCCACUUGUGAGAGGGGGCAGCGAGGCAGCUGAGCUGGAGUCUGAGGCAGGAGAUGGCUGCUAGGGAGGGGCCCCCUGUGUGGGGAGAGCUGACAAACUUUAGCAAAUGUGAUGUCUGCUCUUCAUCGUGGAAAUUAUUUCUUGUCGUGCCUGUAAGUCUCUUCCUUCAAACCUAAAUCAUUUUAAAAGUUUGUUUUUCUGCAGACAUAGCAGUUUUAUGUCAAUAGUAUUUUGGUUUCCACUGCGUCUACUGAAGCAAAACAAUGCCAAUAUGAAGACAACAGCAAAAGGUGAACAAGAAAAAUAAUCCGGAAGAGGUGGAUGUUAGCAGACCCAUCAUCUCAGGAAUGGUACCCCGCAUGAUAGCAUUUGUGAUCCCAGGAGUCCUUAGAAAUAUUGGAGAUGGCUCUUGGCUUCUCGCAGUUAUGCAGAUCUUCUCCAAGGCCCAGACUUGGAGAUGUUAAUUCCGUAAGAGAAGACUCUCCUGAAGCUAUUGGUCUUCCUGGACUCUGGUCAGGGGCUGAAGAGUGACUGGCAGAGCGGAGGCAAGGCCCAGGGAGACAGGAAGCCUGUUCUGUGAUGCUUGUCUCAGGUCUGUGCAGCAACUGAAGAGAGAAGCCACAAGAGGAGGAGAAGCUUGGUGGGCUCAUCAGCAACCGCUGUUUUUGUACCUAUCUGGGAGUGGGGUUGAGAAUGAUGUCAACAGCUUGGAACAACACCCCAGAGGCAACAGUGGGGCACUCUCUGAAGAAGUGUUGUCUCAUUCCUGUGAACAUCCCUGUGCUCCAGGAGGCACAGAAGAUGACGUGUGGGGAAAGGCAUGGACGUAGACAACUGUGAGCUGGAAAGUGAUUCAGAGGGUGUGGAUUCUGAAUGUGACCAAGUUUUAGGAUUACCUUAAGCAAUUUGCUUCACUGACAUUUUCCUUUUCAUGUAUGCAUGAGACUGAUCUAUAGUAAAAGCCUAUUCUAAAUAAAUCUUAAAAAGCUCUCUGUAAGU